AAUCAUUAAAAAAAACUUAUCCUCCACCCUUUCUCUCCCUUUCAUCUCUCUCUUUCUGAACAAUCUUUUGUUGGAAUGCAGCGGACGAGAAUGAAGUAAAUAUAUUGAACAACCUUUCUCAGGCAGGUUGGAAGUGGCGGUGGUUUGCCACACUUAAAAUCACCAUGGAUGGGUGAUUAUCACCACAAUAUCAUAAUGACAAUAAUUAAGUCAACCUCCUUAGACCAAUUUACUAUGAUAAUAUUAAUAAUGUAAUAUACAACGACUAUUCUCGAAAUUGUCAAGCACAAAACGGUAAAUAAAUAACACUGAGAUUUACGUAGUUCCCUCUAAUGCGGUGAGUACAUCUACGACAACAGCGACAAAUACGAGCACUUCUUCAGUAUAAUCAAGGUAGAUACAAGGUGAUCUGAGCCGAUCCAAAAUAAUAAUUUUCAAGUGUUUCACAAACCCCGAAACAAUUACUCACUAUUUUUAUCGCUCACAAGAAAGUAUUUUUACCACGGUAAAACAUUUAGCAGUAUUUUCUACGGCUCACCUAUCUACCCAAUUGAGAUAACUUAUCUCAAUUAUAUAAGUAAAGAAAUCCUAUCACUACACAAAGAGAAAGAAGAAGAACGUACAUAGAGAAAAAGAUGAUGAG
rnacentral:lncRNA from 1 species